GAGUAAGGCUCAGUGGUUAGAGCGUCCAACCGGCACCUGGAAGGUCAUGGGUUCGAUUCCCAUUGAGGAGCU